UAAGCGGAGGAAAAGAAACUAACAAGGAUUCCCCUAGUAGCGGCGAGCGAAGCGGGAAGAGCUCAAAUUUAUAAUCUGGCACCUUCGGUGUCCGAGUUGUAAUCUCUAGAAGUGUUUUCCGCGUUGGACCGCACACAAGUCUGUUGGAAUACAGCGGCAUAGUGGUGAAACCCCCGUAUAUGGUGCGGACGCCCAGCGCUUUGUGAUACACUUUCAAUGAGUCGAGUUGUUUGGGAAUGCAGCUCAAAUUGGGUGGUAAAUUCCAUCUAAAGCUAAAUAUUGGCGAGAGACCGAUAGCGAACAAGUACCGUGAGGGAAAGAUGAAAAGCACUUUGGAAAGAGAGUUAACAGUACGUGAAAUUGUUGGAAGGGAAACGCUUGAAGUCAGACUUGCUUGCCGGAGCUUGCUUCGGUUUGCAGGCCAGCAUCAGUUUUCCGGGGUGGAUAAUGACGGUUUGAAGGUAGCAGUCUCGGCUGUGUUAUAGCUUUCCGUUGGAUACAUCCUGGGGGACUGAGGAACGCAGCGUGCUUUUUGCGAAAGACUCGUCUUUUUCACGCUUAGG
rnacentral:rRNA from 2 species